GACGACGUAACUCAGUGGAAGAGCUCAGGGCUCCGCCCUGGGGACCCUGGGUCCAAACCAGCCGUCGCCA